rnacentral:misc_RNA from 1 species
GAUGAAGAACGCAGCGAAAUGCGAUAACUAAUGUGAAUUGCAGAAUUCCGUGAAUCAUCGAGUCUUUGAACGCACAUUGCGCCCCCUGGUAUUCCGGGGGGCAUGCCUAUCCGAGCGUCAUUGCUGCCCAUCAAGCACGGCUUGUGUGUUGGGUCCCGUCCCCCUCUCCCGGGGGACGGACCCGAAAGGCAGCGGCGGCACCGCGUCCGGUCCUCGAGCGUAUGGGGCUUUGUCACCCGCUCUUGUAGGCCCGGCCGGCGCUUGCCGACACCCAACCAUUUUUUUCAGGUUGACCUCGGAUCAGGUAGGGAUACCCGCUGAACUUAAGCAUAUCAAUAAGCGGAGGA